rnacentral:rRNA from 1 species
UGCAAGUCGAACGGCAGCACAGGAGAGCUUGCUCUCUGGGUGGCGAGUGGCGGACGGGUGAGGAAUACAUCGGAAUCUACUCUGUCGUGGGGGAUAACGUAGGGAAACUUACGCUAAUACCGCAUACGACCUACGGGUGAAAGCAGGGGAUCUUCGGACCUUGCGCGAUUGAAUGAGCCGAUGUCGGAUUAGCUAGUUGGCGGGGUAAAGGCCCACCAAGGCGACGAUCCGUAGCUGGUCUGAGAGGAUGAUCAGCCACACUGGAACUGAGACACGGUCCAGACUCCUACGGGAGGCAGCAGUGGGGAAUAUUGGACAAUGGGCGCAAGCCUGAUCCAGCCAUACCGCGUGGGUGAAGAAGGCCUUC